CGUCGCGGGCCGGGGUGCGGGUGUCGGGCGGCGUGCGGGCUGGGGCUGCGCCCGUGCAGGAUGCCCGCUGCCGGCGAGUGGGUCGCGGGCAGGACACUUCGGAGAGCGGCUCUGCAGACCCUUCAGGGUUCUUGCCUUGGGGCUCAGAGAAUCUGGACUUGGGCUGAGAAGGUUGCAGGGAUUUGGAUGCUAACAUAUCUCCUAGUUUCCAGCGCUCGCCCUGCAGAGCGUGCCAUCUCGGCAGCUGUUGAAAGGUCAAUUGGAAAAGCAUUCAUUCGGGGAGCGACGAGCAAACAUGCACAUAAAAUAGCGUUUCAAGUCGGCCCGGGAUGGUUCUGUGUGAACUGGUGUGUGUGUUCGGGGGGGCGGGGGUGGAAUGAGCAGAAGCCAAGUCUUUGCCUGCGCAGGCUGAGUUGAUAUAGACUAUUGCUGGAAACCAUCCGCUGGGAUGUUUCUUAGGGAAAUCCCGUCGUGUGGAAGGAAGCCUUUUAAAGGCAAAGUCAGAUGUUGAGGAAUUAGCCUUUUCAUAGAAUAAUCAAAGGAUGGCUAUACAGAUCACCUAGAAAAUAAUUCAGUAUUUCGGGUUUCUCUUUUCUGGGAGUGUGAUAACUGAAAUGGUUAGAUUUUGGCUCAGUUAAGAAAAGAAAGGCUUUUUCAAUUUUGCUGUGAGAGUUUGGUCGUCAUCUCAUGGUGAGAAAAUAGCUCUUGAUGAUGCCUUGGAAAUGGAGAGGGCCUGCGGAAGCUGGGAGAGACAGACACGUGAACAAGAAAAUUUAAUCAUUUAAUGGAAACCUCGUUUAAAAUGUGCAUCUCUUCCCCUCUUUCUCUCUUAUGCCUAGAGGAAAGCCAUGAUUUUAAGUGCUUCCAGUUUCUUUUGGCUGGGCCUUUAUUAGAGACUUGAGCCCAUAUAUCCUAAUUAGUGUGGACACUUUUAGAAAUUAAAGCAGUUUAUUUUUCUCUUCUCA